UUAAGAUAAUAAGAAUAUAUACUAUUAUUGGAUAAAGAAAAGUACAUGAGAAAACGUAGAAACGAUUAUCGAUAAUUAAAAAGAUAAUUAAAUAGUCGAAUGGUGGAGAAAAUUACAAAGGAAGUAUGGGGUUGAUGUUUUAACUUUGUGAACUUCUAAAAAUUUAAUUUUCUACCUGCAACCUUACAUAGUAAAAACUCAACCAAUAAAUAAAAUAAAAAUGCAACCAAAAAAUACAGCUAGCAUAGUUAAAAAAAAAAAAUUGCUUCCUCUUGUUUCAAAGAAGCUGAACUGAACCUGCAAAC
rnacentral:lncRNA from 1 species